CAGCAGCCACGGGAACACGAAGGGUGCAAGCGUUAAUCGGAAUUACUGGGCGUAAAGCGUGCGUAGGCGGUGAGUUAAGUCUGCUGUGAAAUCCCCGGGCUCAACCUGGGAAUGGCAGUGGAUACUGGCUCGCUAGAGUGUGUCAGAGGAUGGUGGAAUUCCCGGUGUAGCGGUGAAAUGCGUAGAGAUCGGGAGGAACAUCAGUGGCGAAGGCGGCCAUCUGGGACAACACUGACGCUGAGGCACGAAAGCGUGGGGAGCAAACAGGAUUAGAUACCCCCGUAGUCCCUGUCUCUUAUAC
rnacentral:rRNA from 1 species